rnacentral:RNase_P_RNA from 1 species
AGAGUUGGCUAGACAGUCGCUGUAGUUUCUACAGAGGAAAGUCCGGGCUCCAUCGGGCAAAGUGCCAGGUAAUGCCUGGGGGGCGUAAGCCUACGGAAAGUGCCACAGAAAAUAUACCGCCUAAGCAGAGUGUCGCCUUUGGCGAAACUAUACUCACAGCAUCGGGUUUUUGGCAAGUGUCGCGUCCAUGCAAUCAUCAUGGUAUAUCCAAGUCAUGAGGAUUGCGAGUUGGUGGCACACAGCCAAUAUCAAGUGCGAAGAGUAUAUAGCUAGGUAAGGGUGAAAAGGUGUGGUAAAAGCACACCGCAUCAUUGGUAACAGUGAUGGCAGGGUAAACCCCACUUGGAGCAAGACCAAAUAGGAACCUUUUAGGCGUGGCCCAUGCUAGGUUCGGGUAGGUUGCUUGAGAUAUAUGGUGACGUAUAUCCUAGAUGAAUGACUGUCCACGACAGAACCCGGCUUAUCGGCUAACUCUUUUU